rnacentral:misc_RNA from 1 species
GUAGGUGAACCUGCGGAAGGAUCAUUAAAAAAAUACGCCUGGUGAAAGUGUGAAAACACCGAAUCCAGUGCUGUAUACAACCACCUGUUUACCUUUACCUGUUUCUUCCGUGGAAUUACGGGUGCUCUUUCUGCUUGCAGCUUAGAGUUACCUUCCACGGGUGCAUUUUAAAAAUUGUUUUGUAUUAUUGUCUGAAAAAAAAUUAAAAGUUAAAACUUUCAACAACGGAUCUCUAGGUUCUCGCAUCGAU